UACAGAGGGGGCAAGCGUUGUUCGGAAUUACUGGGCGUAAAGGGCGCGUAGGCGGCGUGCUAAGUCGAACGUGAAAUCCCCGGGCUCAACCCGGGAACUGCGUCCGAGACUGGCAGGCUUGAAUCCGGGAGAGGGAUGUGGAAUUCCAGGUGUAGCGGUGAAAUGCGUAGAUAUCCGGAGGAACACCGGUGGCGAAGGCGGCUUCCUGGACCGACACUGACGCUGAGGCGCGAAAGCUAGGGGAGCAAACGGG
rnacentral:rRNA from 1 species